UGGUUGGAAAAAAUAACCCCUAUAACCUUUCCUCGGCGGAUCAGCCCGCGCCCCGUAAAACGGGACGGCCCGCCCGAAGACCCUCAACUCUGUUUUUAGUGGAACUUCUUAGUAAAACAAACAAAUAAAUAAAAACUUUUUACAACGGAUCUCUUGGUUCUGGCAUCGAUGAAGAACGCAGCAAAAUGCGAUAAGUAAUGUGAAUUGCUGAAUUCAUUGAAGCAUCAAAUCUUUGAACGCACAUUGUGGCCGCCAGUAUUCUGGCGGGCAUGCCGGUUCGAGCGUCAUUUCAACCCUCAAGCUCCCCUGGGUGGUGGGACUGGUGGUAACCCGCGUUCCCCAAAUCGAUUGGCGGCCACCUCGAGCUUCCAUAGCGUAGUAAUCAUACACCUCGUUACUGGUAAUCGUCGCGGCCACGCCGUAAAACCCCAACUUCUGAAUGUUGACCUCGGAUCAGGUAGGAAUACCCGCUGAACUUAAGCAUAUCACUAAGCGGAGGAGAAAUAAUU
rnacentral:rRNA from 1 species